ensembl:lncRNA
ACAACGGCAGUUAUUAUGUGCGACACUCUUGGUUACACUAGAAUAUUGCAAGUUGCAGGGACAAACUGGAUGUUACAGACAGUUUUGUCAUGUGGAGAUGAUGUCGUAAGACAUGAAGGUAUCUCUGUUUACUUCCCAAGCACACAAUACAAUAAAAGGGAGGAGACGUUUCUAAGUCCCAAAAAAAGCUUUUAUGCAAAAUACUACCUGCAGACAGACAGAGAAAGAUGUCUGUCUGUAUUUGAGUAGUCACUCUCUAGUUUAUCACUAAAUAUAUUUUUGCUUAUUUACUGCGCUUGAUCACUCUCAAUCAGCUGGUGGAAAAGGUUUGUUUUAUAUCAAUCCUAAACUCUGACAGUGUCCUGGAGUACAUUUAUAGGUGUCUAAAUAGACAUUUUAAAUGUAACCAGUAAUAAAAUUUAAUACAAUUGUAACCUGUCCUAUUCUUAAUUCUUGGUUGUCUUAGGUUAUUAAUUUACUUUUACCAUUAAAAAAAAAAAAAAAAAAAAAAAAAAACUCAGUAAUGACUUAUGAUUAAUGUGAUAUAAUACAUGCGGCCUGGGAAAACCUGUCGGAUGUUGCUAUAGCAACCAAAAAAGACAGAAAAUUCCUUUUUUUCUUGGGUGAUACACUCUGACAACUUAACUUUCCAAACCAUCAAUAUAUUUCACCCAAGCAGAAAUAUUUUAUUGACUUUAUUUAUCUUGCAUUGCCUGUCAGCCUACAAAGAUCACUUCAGGUAAAAAGCCAGUUUAACAAACGUGGUGGUAGAAACCCUCUACGUCUAAAACCUUGCUAUAUGAUAGAGAAUGUCAGGCUUUGAUCAAGUUGUUGAUAAAUAGCACCCAAACACAAGCAAACAAACAGAAGCCUAAUCAAUUCAGUUUAUAAUCAGACCACAAUUCUCCUGUGCCACAGCUGGAAUGAAAUCUUUAAAUGUAAAUUUCUUCCUUUUCAAUUUUGGGUGCAACCAGACCUUAAAGAGAUAUGCAAAACUAAAACAUCUGAGAGGCCUGACGCUUCAUCUUGGCCUCCAUACUCUAUAUAUAGUAUUAUUAGAAGGAAAACAAGUGUGUUUACCUGAAUGGCAUGCUUACAAAGCUAUCAAAAGUGCAGGCUACACCCAUACGCAUACAUGUCAUAAUGUGAAAGUUUACUGAAACACAAUAACACUAAUACUUCAGCCUAAUUCCACUUUCAUGUGGAGUAUUGUGGUGGCUCGGCUCAUCAUGACCACACCUCAUUACCUACGAUACUGUAAACAAAGCCUCCAACAGUAAACACCCUGACAAACUGCUCUUACCUGGUCAACCCCUCAAUGUGCAAAUACAAAUACACACCAUCUAAAUCACUCAUCAGUCAUUCAUAUAGGCUAUGAUAAUAUAAUAAAUGAAAAGCAACAGACCUAGGUCUACACAGAUUAGGUUAGGUUAUCAUCUAGUGCAUGUGAUUUCUAUAAACAGCUCACCAAAAUUAUAUUUCCAGGAAAACUAACAUGAACCUUGAGGCAAUAAUAAUAAUAAUAAUAAUAAUAAUAAUAAUAAUAAUAAUAAUAAUAAUAAUAAUAAUCCCCCCCUAAACAACACCAUUACGUUCAGUCCAGCUAUAGUCUGAUACUACAUGAUUAGUCCAGCCUGCACCUGUUCACUCAGUCACCUUCAGGAACCUUCUAUAUGGAGCAUUUAACACCUUCUCAGCCGUCUGAAUAUAUUUCAGCUCAGGUUUAACCUCUUUACUAGUUUAUAACCCGAUUUAUAUCCAGCUAAUGACGUUGUAGCCUGUAAACAUGCGACGGGAAGCGAAGCGAACGAAACGACACCUAAAUCCGAGUUGUCCACCUGCGCAAGAUUAAUGUUAACACCACAAACUAGUUCUUUAUGAGCAGAGUUGUCCCGUUUCAAAGCAGCGUUUACGCCAACGUGAAACGAAUCAUUUUAUCACCACCAUGUUUGAACGCGUAAGACUGAGAGUAAAGGCGUUGAACGGGAAGCGCAACAGCAGGGAGCUUGGUGUGACAAGCUACCAGCUGCCAAAACUGGCUAGUCACAACUGGUAGUCCAUCUUUUCCAGUUGUAUCUCACAAAAGUGAGUACACCUGCUCCCCAUUCACACCUGAGACCUUGUAACACUAACAAGUCACAUGACAGCAGGGAGGGAAAAUGGCUAAUUGGACCCAAUUUGGACAUUUUCACUUAGGUG